GACAGGGGCUUCGCUCAGCUUCCGGGCCCGUUAGGGCCUCUGUCCACUGUUCUCCGUAGAAGAUAACCUACCUUGGAAAUGAAGAUUGAAUUCUGAGGCCAUUUCACCCAGGGCAACAGAAUAACAGGAUGUCAAGGAGUGCCACAAAACUGAAGAGAUCAUCCCAACCAGCAUUUAAAUAAGCCUUGAGAUGAACACACAUGAGAAAAAAAGAGGUUAAACAAUUGUUGGAAACCUCCACAGAAUCAGACAGCAAGCCAACAGAACUGUCUCUAAAGAAUAUUAAGUAGUUUUGGAUUUAUGGCCACCAUCUUCUCUUACUAAAAAUGAGAAAACUAGAAGAUCACAGAUCGUUGGUCAAGUUUUCAUUCAGCUAUUGGUGAAGCUAGCUGUCAAACCCAAGUAGUCUGCUGGUAACAACAAUGCUAAAUACAUAGUCCCUAUUGAAAAAACAAAAGAACAAAAUAAUUGAUCAUUUCUUUGAGGUAAUACUUUUGUGUCCUAAUGAUUGUACAUAAAAAUUGCUGAACUAAU